UACGAAGGGGGCUAGCGUUGCUCGGAAUCACUGGGCGUAAAGGGUGCGUAGGCGGGUUUUUAAGUUAGGGGUGAAAUCCUGGAGCUCAACUCCAGAACUGCCUUUGAUACUGAAGAUCUUGAGUUCGGGAGAGGUGAGUGGAACUGCGAGUGUAGAGGUGAAAUUCGUAGAUAUUCGCAAGAACACCAGUGGCGAAGGCGGCUCACUGGCCCGAUACUGACGCUGAGGCACGAAAGCGUGGGGAGCAAACAGG
rnacentral:rRNA from 1 species